UUGACAGCAAGAGUGAAAUCCUCUAUUUAUUCAAAGAACAGGUACAGAACAAACAGCAGCUACAGUGCAACAUUGAUACACACACACACACCUCACCCACCAGUACGAGUGCCUGGGAGGGAUCAUUUCCAAGGUUAAAGGGGGAGUUCACCUUUCAAGACUCAUUCAAACAAAAGGAAGU
rnacentral:sRNA from 1 species